UAAUGGGACACAUGGCUGCUGUGCUGAAGGGCUUGGUUACUAGAAUUGUAAAUCCCGGAGAGUUUGUAAGUCUUCUGUCCCCAGGGAGGUAUCAUGCUUUGUUCACUGUUGCUCUGUUUGUCAGGUGCUGCUUCUCAUCGGAAGUAUUAACUUCAAACUGCCCUGUUCUUUUAUUAACUUUUUUUCCUGGUUCUCUCUGUAGGGCAGGGAAAGACUCUCGUAUCCUGGUCGUCAGACUCAGCGCUGCCCGAGAAGAUAGAGAGACUGUAAAAAUCAUAAGAAGCAACUAGGACUGCAGAGGAAACAAACUGGAGAGAACAAAAGAAAUAAAUGUUUCCUGGUCUUCAGAAGUAAGCUGCUUUGAAAACCUGGAAGUUGCAGUACAGUGACAAUCCACGUGCUUCGGAUUCAAAGGAGAUUUCAGAAGGGUGAUAGGCUUUUGUCUUUUCCUACAAGUCCAUGUAAUCCUAUGGAGGAGUUUUUAAUUGCGUGUUGCCGAGUCAUCCAUCAGAGCCCUGUUGUACCGAUCAUCAUGCAAAUACAAAAGAAAAAAAUCAGAGCCUGUCCCAGCCACUUAGAGCCUAGACCAUUAUUUCCUCAGGCUGCCCUCUGUGUGCCAUUAAUACUCACCAUGGGAGUGAGCUGAGGAUUGUUGCAGCUGUUGGGAGCAAACUACUUCUCAUCACACAGAAAUAGAAUUGGGAUGACGCCUUGGCCAGCGCCUCUCUGCUCUCGUCUCCUGAAUCUCCAGCAGAGGAGUUCCGGUCCAUCCAGGUGUGCGUAACCCAGUUCCCGAUGGUCUGAACGCGCUGAGCAGCGCUCAGCUGAUGUGGGGGGUUCAGGGAAGGCAGAGUGUGUAUUAUCAUCUUCCUGAACCUACAGACAAAUCCAAGUGAGAAGCCAUAGGGUGGCAAUCAGUCGCAUACAUGCUAAAUAAAACUUGCAGAUUUUUUUAA